rnacentral:rRNA from 1 species
AACGAACGCUGGCGGCAGGCUUAACACAUGCAAGUCGAGCGCCCCGCAAGGGGAGCGGCAGACGGGUGAGUAACGCGUGGGAAUCUACCCAUCUCUACGGAAUAACGCAUGGAAACGUGUGCUAAUACCGUAUACGUCCUUCGGGAGAAAGAUUUACCGGAGAUGGAUGAGCCCGCGUUGGGUUAGCUAGUUGGUGGGGUAAAGGCCUACCAAGGCGACGAUCCAUAGCUGGUCUGAGAGGAUGAUCAGCCACACUGGGACUGAGACACGGCCCAGACUCCUACGGGAGGCAGCAGUGGGGAAUAUUGGACAAUGGGCGCAAGCCUGAUCCAGCCAUGCCGCGUGAGUGAUGAAGGCCCUAGGGUUGUAAAGCUCUUUCACCGGUGAAGAUAAUGACGGUAACCGGAGAAGAAGCCCCGGCUAACUUCGUGCCAGCAGCCGCCGUAAUAC